AGGGAACAAGAAUACUUGGACACAAUUCAAAGAACACCAUCAGAUACCUGAGGUCUAGCUUCUGGUCCCAAAUCUGUCAUUCAGAAGUGUGUAACUUGACAAUUUGUUGAAUCUCACUGGAUUUUAUUUCUGUCAAGAGUAAAAUUAACCAGAUAAGAAUUAUGCUGAGACAUAGCAGUACCUCAAAAAGUGGUGGAGGUAAUAAGCUGCAAAGUUGGAACUUGAAUCCCGGACCUCAAGCUCCAAAUCCAGAAUUCCUCACUUUCCCCCCGCUACCUGAUACAGAACUGGAGAAAAAUAAAUUUGAUUUAAUUAAGUGUAGCAGAUCCCAGGAACUAUUUUAUGUUUAAUGAUUACUUUCAAGCUUAAUUUGCCUCUAUUUAAGUGUAACUAACACAUAAUCUUUAGGAUAAACAUCUCGGAAUUCUUUCUGAAUUAUCCCCAAAUUUUAAGUUUAGGUGUGCAUUUGACAAUCUGCAUUGCUGCCAACAGUAGUUGGAAGAUUACUACCUGAAAGCUGAGGAAGUUUGCUUCAGCUACUACAUGCCCUUCCUUGUGGUAAAUGUGCAAGUCACGGCACAAUAAUUGAGGAAAUAAAUGUUGGUGCCUUAAAAUAAAUGUUGAUAUUCAAAUUUGUCCUAUUUUACCCUGGUAAAUGUGUAAGUCAUGGCACAAUACUUGAGGAACUUGAGCAGAUAAGUUUGGAGUAAAUAACCUGUGUUAUAAAAUGCACAACACUCAAAAUAAAAUGAAACACUACAACUAUGUACUUUAACUUAUGAUUCAUAGAUUUUGUAGGCCAAUUCUUUGCUAUUGGAAAACACAAAACUUUUCCAACUUUGAAGACUGGAAACAAAACACAAACUGCAAGAAAACAUUAAGUUCAUCUAUAUUUGUUCUGUAGGAGGACUCCUUCCUGUAGUUUGCAGACAGUCAUGAAUCCCCUUAGGUCAACAGCUGUCAACUUCAAUUCUCAUUUUAUCCACUCCUUCCAGUCCAAAGACUUUAGACCAAUAUUUUUAGGAAAAUAAAAGAUAUUUUCAUUUAAGUAGCAAAAUCACCAAAACUACCUACCAGAGAAAAACCAAAUACUCUCAGAAUCGUUGCUGAGGCAGGUUCAGAAGGAUUGUUCUGAGAACUACUUUGCAAGUGGAAAAAAUGAAGCCUAAGAGACUUACAUUAAAUAGGGGGUUAAAGUAUGUUUAAACACACAAAUCGAAAAGCAUGACCACUAAUAGAACCAUGUCAUCUUUGUUAAAAAUAUGAAAAUCAAUAACAGAUUUUAUUGCCUCUUCAAAGACCCUUUAUAGUGAACUUCGGACCUUAAAAAGCAAAUCAUUUUAAACAGGCAUUACUGAUGAAGCUGAUUCUUUUCUAAAUUUAUUUUUUAUCAUCUCAAGUGCAUAGAAAUGUUUCUUUCCCUAACUCCCUUAUCUGCAUUGUAUUUACUCUUUUAUGCUUUGCAUAAACUGUAACAGAUUAUUUUAUAAAAUGUAUUAAAUGCCAACUAAUCUAUA